CGCACGUUUGUAACGAAGUUCCCCAGAAAGCAUUUUCUUGUUUUACGUUGAGCUGAACCUAGCAACAUAUAGUCUGCUGUCAAAGCGUGUGAUGCGUGUUCUUCUGUUGUGCAUGGACGCCGCGGUGACAUCGUUCAGCACACGACGAGUCACAAGUAUGAACACAGAAGUGAUGGCCGUGCUGUCUCCAAGAGAACAUGACGCAGCUAGCAGACACCAAAGCUGACUUGGACGAGUGUCACCUCACUUACAGCCCCAGCAAAUGCCUGAUUACGUGUGUACUACUUCUCAAGUACUUUACCUGCGACGUAUUAACGUCUCCACAUGAAUGUUCAGAUACAGGAUCAAGCCCAAAUCUCGCCACUCAAGUUUUGCAGGUUCAGUCAGG